GAUGAACGCUGGCGGCGUGCCUAAUACAUGCAAGUCGAGCGAACAGACGAGGAGCUUGCUCCUCUGACGUUAGCGGCGGACGGGUGAGUAACACGUGGAUAACCUACCUAUAAGACUGGGAUAACUUCGGGAAACCGGAGCUAAUACCGGAUAAUAUAUUGAACCGCAUGGUUCAAUAGUGAAAGACGGUUUUGCUGUCACUUAUAGAUGGAUCCGCGCCGCAUUAGCUAGUUGGUAAGGUAACGGCUUACCAAGGCAACGAUGCGUAGCCGACCUGAGAGGGUGAGCGGCCACACUGGAACUGAGACACGGUCCAGACUCCUAGGGGAGGCAGCAGUGGGGAAUUUUCCGCAAGGGGCGAAAGCCUGAGGGAGCAACGCCGGGUGAGUGAUGAAGGUCUUCGGAUCGUAAAAUUCUGUUAUUAGGGAAAAACAAAUGUGUAAGUAACUAUGCACGUUUUGACGGUACCUAUACAGAAAGCCGCGGCUAACUACGG
rnacentral:rRNA from 1 species